CGCGUAGGCGGUGCGGUAAGUCACCCGUGAAACCUCCGGGCUCAACUCGGAGCCUGCAGGCGAAACUGCCGUGCUGGAGUGUGGGAGGGGUGCGUGGAAUUCCCGGUGUAGCAGUGAAAUGCGUAGAUAUCGGGAGGAACACCUGUGGCGAAAGCGGCGCACUGGACCACAACUGACGCUGAGGCGCGAAAGCUAGGGGAGCAAACAGGAUUAGAUACCCUGGUAGUCCUAGCCCUAAACGAUGGAUGCUUGGUGUAGCCGGUACCCAAUCCGGCUGUGCCGCAGCUAACGCGAUAAGCAUCCCGCCUGGGGAGUACGGUCGCAAGGCUGAA
rnacentral:rRNA from 1 species